rnacentral:rRNA from 1 species
UACGAAGGGUGCAAACGUUGCUCGGAAUUAUUGGGCGUAAAGCGCACGUAGGCGGCUUUGCAAGUCGGCUGUGAAAUCCCUCGGCUUAACCAAGGAAGUGCAUCCGAAACUGCAGAGCUUGAGUACUUAAGAGGAUCGCGGAAUUCCCGGUGUAGAGGUGAAAUUCGUAGAUAUCGGGAGGAACACCAGUGGCGAAGGCGGCGAUCUGGGAAGAUACUGACGCUGAGGUGCGAAAGCGUGGGGAGCAAACAGG